GCACACCUCCCUAAAUAUGGGUAAGUUCAUACCCUAUAAUAAUCUCCUGUGUAAAGUCACUGACCCAUUUCCACUGCUGCUCUCUCAUCUGCUGCUCUGAAGCCUAAACCAUGGUGCCCAGAAUCUUCGAUGCAACUCAUGAGAAGCUGGAGGACCUGGAGAAGCUGGCAACUCAAAAAGGCCAAAGGGUGCAGACAAUAAAAGCCCCAGACAAGCGUAUAGAACCACACGCCGUCUUUUUACUUGCCGCCCAGGGCGGCUCAUGGAGGAGACAGGGACUCUCCCCAGGUCGAAGGCCCAAGGCCUGGAUGAUGGGGUGGGGCCCAGGAUGGGUGCCAGGGGUCUGGAGGACAUGAGUGGAUGAAGGCCCCGGGCUUCAGCUUCCUCUUGGUGGAAUGUGGGUGAUGAGGUCCGACCAUGCAGCGCUGCUGUGAGGACCGGAUGAGAGGAUCCCUGGGAGGUGGCCGGUGACUUGGUACCGUCACCUCAGUGACUGUUCUUCGUCCUCAUGGAUGUUCAGAGAAGACUUGCCCACUCUCUCCACCAGAUACAACCAAUAAAACCUCUGAAAAUUUCAGCCGAACUUUAUAGCACUUUCAUUCUUUUCCAAUUUAUUUGACGCUAUUUAAAUCAGACCUAGUGAUUCUGGGAUGCCUGAGAUUCCUGUCCCUUAGAAGGGACGUCAGGUGCCUUCUGUGCGCACACGUGGCAUUUGGGCGGGAACCCAGAGCCCCGACUCUGGGCUUGUUGGACUGAGAUCCAAGGAGGGAUUCACUACAUUGGUGUAAGGUGCGGUCUGUGUUUCAGAUUCUUGUGCCAGAUGAGGUGAUGCUUUGAUGUCAAUACCUCGUGU
rnacentral:lncRNA from 1 species